rnacentral:rRNA from 1 species
UACGUAGGGUGCGAGCGUUAAUCGGAAUUACUGGGCGUAAAGCGUGCGUAGGCGGUCCGCGAAGUCUGAUGUGAAAUCCCCAGGCUUAACCUGGGAACUGCAUUCGAGACUGCAUUGCUAGAGUAUGGGAGAGGGAAGUGGAAUUUCCGGUGUAGCGGUGAAAUGCGUAGAUAUCGGAAGGAACACCUGCGGCGAAGGCG